rnacentral:misc_RNA from 1 species
UCCGAGUUGUCCCCGGCAGUCCUUUUAGAGUCCCCGGCAUUACCCGCUGGCAACUAAAAGCAGGGGUUGCGCUCGUUGCGGCACUUAAGCCAACACCUCACGGCACGAGCUGACGACAGCCAUGCAGCACCUGUGCUAGCCCCUUACGGACACGGGCUUUCACCCGCUUUAACUAGCAUGUCAAGCCUAGGUAAGGUGGGGAUGACGUCAGUGACCUUUGC